GGGCAGCUUCCAGGUAUGAUUGUUUAACUUUAUGAAUGGAACAGGUUGUCGUUGCAAAUGAGAAUUUGUUCUCCAUCGACUUACCUGGAUAAACAAAAAUAAAAAUACUUGAAAGGACAAGGACACACACACACAC